rfam:TPA: Bos taurus chromosome 23, whole genome shotgun sequence.
CCAAAGGCUCUUUUCAGAGCCACCUACCUUUUCUAGAAAAGAGCCU